GGUGUUGGGUGGUUUAGCUGUUGCACACUGAUUGCUCAAUGUGCCACAGGUUUGCAGACUCACCUGGCCCCAGAGUCCAAUCAGACUCGGCCAGGUGAGGCUGAAUCAACCAGCUAUCAUCCACACACACUCCCACCACUCUUACUAAGCGCGCUGAACAUACCAAGGCUUGAUUUUGAUAACCUGGUGGAUCGACAGACGACCUCACAGUCAGAGUUAAAUGAUGUGGUGCCAGCAUGACCUUGAGGACAUGGGUUCAAGUUCGGAAUAAGCACAAAAGCAUAAUUCAAUGUGCUGUACCUGUUGAAGUCCUGAGCAACACCAUUGGAAGGGGGUCAACUCCACCGCCCUUCACCGUUUCGGGGAGCUGGCCCUCGCUAAUAAUGAAGGGCAGCCGAUGAUGGCCUGGGUGGAAGGGGGGUUGUCAUCUGACCCCACUGCCUUGUUCUCGGAUACUUUUGUAAUGGGACAUAAACGAUGACGAGACUCUGUCGGCCUGUGAGUCCAGGGUGACUAUGGAGGUCCAGUUUUAUUUGGAGCUGCAGGUGAAACGUCUCCGAGGUCUCUGCGCUGAAGGGUUGAUGUCUUUCAUCAAAGCACAGGCUUCUUCAUCCGGGCUGUCGUACCCGAAACUGAAAGAAACAACCGUGGAAUCAUCUGAGUAUGAGUACGGCCAUCUUGGCUCUACUCACGGGCGAUUCCGAGGCCUGUGACGACCACAAGGAGGAGAACCACGAGGAGCCAAGGGAGCACGGCUCGGAUCCUGUAGGCCUUCUUCUGCCCUGAAACCUUGGCCACCUCUUAAAGAGGGAGAGUGAGAGAGGAACAGAACAACUGACCGGUUAGAGACUGCAGUCUCAAGCCCUCGCUGGUCCUGGUGGGAGCGUGGAGCAUGGAACACAAUAGACUGACUAGGUUGUAUCUGAAUAUGUCUAGCAUUACUAAUAAUACUACUACUACUAUUUACAAUAGCGCUUCUACUAUUACACUUACUACUACCAGUGCUACUAUUAUUACUACUACAAUUAUAUUGCUAUUAUCAUUGCUACUACUACUACUUAUAAAAAUAAUAAUAUUUCUAAUACUACCACUGACACAACUUUUACUACUACGAGAAUAGUACUCCUAUUACAACUACCUCUACUCAAUAAUAAUAAUAACCUGAUUAUAAAUAUCUGAUCCUUGUUACAAUUGAGAUUAUUGUGUUGUUAAAGUGCUUUACCUUUGAUAAACAAUGAAAGUCCUGCAGCAAAUAUAGAUUUUUUUUCUGUGUUUACAUUUUAGUUUUUCCUUCUGCCAGGAAAGCACGUGC
ensembl:lncRNA